AAGGAAAUGAACAUCAGAUAUCCAAAACGUAAUGCAUAUCAGCAUAUGUAUCUAAAAAGCCCAUAUUCACCUACAACCCUUUUCCCAAAAUCAGAUCUUCAUAUCCCUUUUCUCAUUUCACAAAAGUCGUCGUUCUCCACUUCUCCUUUUCUCAUUUUAGAUCCCUCUUUUGCUUUCCUCUCAAAUCAGCAACCCUACAGACUACACUCUUAGGUUUUCCUCUCAACUUUACACUAAAUUGUAUUUCGCGAUGGAAGCUACAACUUCUGGAACUAAAUCGCUAGUGAUUGACAACAACCCUCCGAUUGCGCCAACAGAAUCUCAACAACAACAAGAUGAGAGUAGAUGAAGAACACAUGAUUAGAAGAACUAAGAAGAAGAAGAGAAGCAGUCCAGUAGAGAAAUGAAGAAUGUAGGAUUGGAUUAUUGUAUUCAAUGUGUUAAAAUUACAAUGUGUAAUCCACACAGUUACAUCAUAUUAAAACCUUUAAAGAAUAUCACUAGAGAGCUAAGUGUGCAGACAGAACAGGAAUUGACUGAUGAUCCCCUUUCUUUUCCAGAUGGGAACUAGGGUGUAAAUGAAAAAUCAAAAGUAUUUUAAUUUCAUUCUCUCUCUCUCUCUCUCUCUCUCUCUCUCUCUCUCUCUCUCUCUCUCUCUCUCUCUGUCUCCCCCCUCCCCCACUCCUAAUGGUGUAUCCCUUGGGCAUACUUCCUCCGGUUGUCUCUAAUUUACUUUCAUGUAUUCUUCUUCUGCUCAUUAGCUGAAUGAUACGGGUCCUCUGUGAUAUUUUUUAUAUCUGGAGGUCUUCCUGGAAAGAAGAGUGAGCAUCAGCCAUAUUUAUAUUUUGCCGCCGAUGGUCUUGAAUACCAGGUUGAUAAUAAAGCUAAUCCUAGAUAUACCUCACUCACUUCUGUUAGAGUAACCAGUACAUCUGCAGAACUGCACAACUUUUUAAGACAAAAGUUAUUCCUCAUAAAUGAUUAUGGUCUUCUCAGAAUUAAUUGAAUCGUGAAUUAAAAGAAAAAACACCAAAAAGAGCAUGUUGUUAAUCAUCAAGUACAAGAUAGGAGAAUGGAGAUAGUAGAUACUUUCUCUAAACAGUUGCUAUUUGCAAGUGUUGAUUCUCUGCAUGCAUCUUCAACACUAUGACAUUAUGGGUCAAGUCUCUCAUAUCUUCUUAUUUUGCAUGUCUAAUUACUUGCAUAGCUUCAGCUCUAACCUCUUAUAUGAUGUUUGUUUUCAUGUUAUCCGUGGUUCAUGCUUUGAGUUUCUUUGGUAACUGAGACUUGCAGAACUAGGACCAAAAGACAUAGUACUCAAGG